UACAGAGGUCUCAAGCGUUGUUCGGAUUCAUUGGGCGUAAAGGGUGCGUAGGCGGCGCUGCAAGUUGGGUGUGAAAUCCCUCGGCUCAACCGAGGAACUGCAUUCAAAACUACAGUGCUUGAGGGAGACAGAGGUGAGCGGAACUUAGGGUGGAGCGGUGAAAUGCGUUGAUAUCCUAAGGAACACCCGUGGCGAAAGCGGCUCACUGGGUCUCUUCUGACGCUGAGGCACGAAAGCUAGGGGAGCGAACGGG
rnacentral:rRNA from 1 species